rnacentral:rRNA from 1 species
AUUGAACGCUGGCGGCAUGCCUUACACAUGCAAGUCGAACGGUAACAGGUUAAGCUGACGAGUGGCGAACGGGUGAGUAAUGUAUCGGAACGUGCCCAGUCGUGGGGGAUAACUACUCGAAAGAGUGGCUAAUACCGCAUACGACCUGAGGGUGAAAGCGGGGGACCGUAAGGCCUCGCGCGAUUGGAGCGGCCGAUAUCAGAUUAGCUAGUUGGUGGGGUAAAAGCCCACCAAGGCGACGAUCUGUAGCUCGUCUGAGAGGACGACCAGCCACACGGGGACUGAGACCCGGCCCAGACUCCUACGGGAGGCAGCAGUGGGGAAUUUCGGACAAUGGACGCAAGUCUGAUUCAGCCAUGCCGCGUGCGGGAAGAAGGCCUUCGGGUUGUAAACCGCUUUUGUCAGGGAAGAAACGAGUUUCUCUAAUACAGAGACUUAAUGACGGUACCUGAAGAAUAAGCACCGGCUAACUACGUGCCAGCCGCCGCGGUAAUAC